CUUGGAAACAAGUCAAGUAGGAUAAACUUCCUGCUUGGGGGAAGGAGCAGGGGCUGUCACCUCUGCUGCCCCUCCCCUCCUCCUAGCUCUCUCCUUCCUGCCUGUGGAGGAAGCCUGUGUUCUCUACCUUGGCAUUCCUUGAUGUCUUAGAGAAGCAGAUGACCCCGGCUGAGCGAGACAGUCAGCAGAACAGCAGCUCUUGAUGCUGCGUUUGGAAAUUUCCAUUCUUUGCUUGCAGCUCUGAAAAAAAAAAAAAAAAAUCUAAAGAGCCCAGUAGCUGGGAAAUUUCCACAAUGGAAAAUUUUAACAUAUUCUUUAGCUCUAAACUAUGCAGGUUUAUAGACGUUAUUUUUUUUUCCUUUUUGUGAUUUCCUUCUUUAACAACAAUUUAUGAACAUGGUACCGCUAGAGCUGUGGGACCAGGAGGGCAAGAUGACCUAGGGGGUGGGCAUAGCUUGCUUAGCAGGAGGCUGUGCUAUAUAAAUGUGUGACCACUCAGCACACAGAAGCGCAGAUCACCCGUGAGGCCCACUGGGUGGGAACUCAUCCAAAGCAGAGCUAGCUUGCCCAGGAGCACUGCAGGGGAAUCUGUGUUAGACCUUGAAGUGGAAUGUGCACCGAUACAACUUGGGAACCUGACAUGUGAAGACGAGCCAAGAAUAGGACUGCUUGGGAAGGUGCACUGCGUGGAAUAGAAGGCUGAGUCUGUCUUUCAGGAUAUGCCCAGUGUUCCGUGGUUAGAGUCCUGGGUCUGAUCUCCAGUGUGGACGAAGACCAUUGCUCCUUACCCCGCACGCAGCUUUGAAGACUUUUCUCACUACGCUGAGUGCUUCCAUCUCUUCAUUUUCACCAGAAUAAGCCUGUUAUCGGCACACCCAAUACUCUCCAGCGCUUUCAUAAUUAUCAGACAGAUGGGGUUAGAAUGUUACAAAACACCCGGCACUAAAUACAGGCAACAUGAUGGCGACAAAAGUAGUUAGCCAGGGCUGAGAUUAACAACAGUUGCAACACUGUUGCUGUCUGCAGGAGGCCGGGGAAGCUGAAAGCCUAUGGCUUUUGUUUUUCAUUUUUGUGAAAGGUGACAGGUUGCCAAGCUGCCAAGAACUCCCCUCCUGCCUUUGCUCACAGCUCUGCAGAAGUACAUUUGAGACAUCAACCAUCAAAUUACGUAUAAAUAUGUAAUCAACUAGAGCUAUUUUUAGCCAGCUCAGUGGGUUUACAUUGACUGAACCGGCUGAGGCUUCCGGUUUGAACCUAUGUGGCUUAUUUAACACAUGAAGAAAAUUCGUCACCUAGGUAGGUAGUCUUGUCCCUACAAUCGACCAUGUCACAAACGUGUGAUCUUUAGGAGACCUAGCUAUACUGUGUAGUGGGCAGUUCAUAGUCAUAUCAUUUCAGGUGCAUCCCUCCUAGGGCAAGGCAGGUACCAACCUUCAUAGCAAUGACCUUGGACUCUUCCAUCUCAGAACCUCAAUUAGCCAUUCACAAAAGAUAAGAUGCCUUAGUCAUAUGUUUAGAACAGUGUUUAAUGUAUUUAUAAGAACAGGUUGGAUCACAAUGUUCUCAAAUGUAAAAUACUUAAAAAAAAAAAAUCAAAAGUGGCCCUUUCCCUCCCCUAAUGGAGAGUAUUAGAAAAUUUGAGGGUGGUACCUGACUCAGCUCACUGCCUGGGGACCUGAUGGCAAUUAAUUCCUAUUGCGUUUGUGCCCUGAGAUUUGCCAGAGCUCAGGUCAGCAUAGCUGGAGGAUGCUACACAGCUCUCCAAGCACAGAAGGCUAGAUUCACAACCCAGCUUCUGGGGAAGAGAAAAGGAAAAGUAGCCCCCCCCAUCCCCCCAUGUCCCUCUCUUUGAGAAUCUGCUCCCCCAUCUACAGCCCCAAGAAGUUCUGUAAAACAAACAAACAAAACAACAACAAAACCGAAACGUGCCUCUGGCCUCCUAGCUCUGGUUUGCAGGGCUCCUUUGAGGUCUGUCCCCCACUGCUUCCCUCUCCCAGGCGUCUGAGUCAGCCAGUGAGUCACCUCUCUCAUUAGCCAAGCUCAGAACGCCUCUCCAUCCCCGCAUCUCUUUUGUUCCUUUGCAUCUAACAGCUUUCCUGGCAGCCCCCAAAUCCAGAGACAACCUUGAAGCUGGAGGGUGGGUUGCUACCAAGAUGGUCUGCUCAGUGAAGAGAGACUGGCAGACAGCGAGUAGAAUUAAGAUGGAGAUGGGGGUGUGCACACCAUGGCCUUUGUGGGACUUCAGUGGCCAGGUUCAGCAUCUGUGCCUCUGUCCAUUUGGUGCAAUGUCCCCCUGCCACUUUCUUUUUUAGACAGGGUCUCCUUAUGUAGCCCUGUCUGCUCUAGAACUUGCUUUAUAGACCAGGCUGGUCUCAAACUCACAGAGAUUUGCCUGUCUCUGCCUUCCAAGUACUGGGCCGAAGGGAGAGCACAGCCAGACCUAGCUACCUUUUCUUUCUCUUUCUAGUCUUUUCUUCCUCUCCUUCCACCCUCCCUUCCUUGCACACGCCCUUGGGUGAUAUCAGGAGAAAGCUCAUGGACUGUUCUGAGGGCAGACCAGAAAAGAGCAGUGUCCUUAGGUCACAUGUACUGGAUAUUAUCCAGUCCUUACAGGUCUGUCUUUCCAUCUCAGUUCUCUGGAUCUUACAUCCCCCAGUGCCUCUUCUGUUGUGGGAGGUGGACAGGCAAAGCUGGAUGAGAGAGGAGUCAUCUCAGUUGAUGCCUCCUGGGUCUAUCAAGACGCCCAGUGAAAGGAUGCUAAUAAGAACUCUAAAUUCACUUGUAAGAACAGCAGCACCAUGACACUGUUAUUAAUUCAUUAAUCACAAAGCCCUUUGUAGAGUGGGAAGCAUUCGACUUGGCUGAGUGUGACACUUUUCAUUAAAUUCAACGAUUUAGCUUUGAAGGGCUCCUCAGAGACCACCUGUGCUUUCCAUCC